rnacentral:pre_miRNA from 1 species
GUUUAUAUGUGUUGUGUGUAUGGUGUUCAGCACCAAGGACAGGUAUAUAUGUGUUCCUAUGUGUGUAUGGUGUUCAGCACCAAGGACAGGUAUGUGUGUGU